UGAAGCCGAGGUCGGUCCUACAGCGCCACCUGGAGGUAGGCUGAGAGGCUUGCCUCUGCCUAGGUGCUCUUCUGAGAGCUGCUCUGGAAUUUAGGGGCGGAAUCUUGUCAAGAACCAUCUGCAGACUCCCUUAUUUGUUUUGGGCCCCAGAGCGUCUAGAUGGUCAUGCCCGAAGCAUUGGUGGAGUUGUGGCUUGUUCAAUAACAGAUUCAACCCUCAUCACCUUUAUACAGAGUUAACUGUUGCGGUGGCAACUGAAGAUGGCAAUCUAACUAGCUUGGAGGUAUUGAAAUCGGCUUGUUGGGCUCAGAUCUCUCUCAGUUGUGUGACCGGUGAUAAUUAAGUCAUUAGGCCUCAGCAUCUCCGUCCCGCAAGGGGACAGGAGGUGAAGAUUCAGGGAGGUAGUAGUGCACAGGUGCUCCUUGAACUAUAUGUGGUUUGCACACAUCUGUAAUCUCAGCUUGUGGAAGGCGCAAGGUGAGUAUGAGCUUAAGCUAAGUAGUACGUUCCAGAUCUAAGCUACUUGAGGCCUUGUUUCAAAACAAAACAACCUACGUGGUAUACAACCUGAUAAACUUAAGCUGGGCGUGGUGGUGCAUGAUUUUAAUCGCAGCCCUCAGGAGGCAGAAGCAGGUGGAUCUCUGAGUUCAAGGGCAGCCUGGUCUACAGAGUUCCAAAGCAACCGGGGCUACACAGAGAAAUCCUGUCUCAAAAAAAGAAAAGAAAAUAUGAAAAAAUUUAAAUAAAGUACAGAAUGGC
rnacentral:lncRNA from 1 species